UUUCAGAAUUCUCAACCAGUUCCUAGAACACAAUAUAUCUAUACAAGAGGAUCCGCUGCAAGUUGUGGAGCAUUUUUUGAACUAAAUCGAGACUACAUUAUCACAGGAAAUGUUUUAAACAGCGGUUCGUGGUUUACAACUUCAUGCAAUUUUUCUCCACAAGUGCAAUAUCUCUCUCCGUUCGAAAGGGCAGCGUUAUAUCAAGGAAUUUACAGCAAUAAUUGUGACUGCACAGUUACUGAUUGUACAUUUCCUGGAUUAGACUGUCCAUUAGUCGUGCCAGAAAAUGAAUGUUUCAUUAGAUCUGAGAGCAAUGCAGGUUGUCUGUACGAGAAUGACACUUGUGGAAGAGUCGGUUCUAGGUGCAACUGGAUUUUAAAUGUAUGCUCCGAAAACAGACGGUAUUAGAAAUAAGGAAAAAAAAUGAACGUGGAGAAAUAAAAACAAAAUAUUUGCUUUGUUAACUUUUUCUUACAUUACUUCAUGCAUA